UAAAGCGUGCGUAGGCGGCUGAUUAAGUCGGAUGUGAAAUCCCUGAGCUUAACUUAGGAAUUGCAUUCGAUACUGGUCAGCUAGAGUAUGGGAGAGGAUGGUAGCAAUUCCAGGUGUAGCGGUGAAAUGCGUAGAGAUCUGGAGGAAUACCGAUGGCGAAGGCAGCCAUCUGGCCUAAUACUGACGCUGAGGUACGAAAGCAUGGGGAGCAAACAGGAUUAGAUACCCUGGUAGUCCAUGCCGUAAACGAUGUCUACUAGCCGUUGGGGCCUUUGAGGCUUUAGUGGCGCAGCUAACGCGAUAAGUAGACCGCCUGGGGAGUACGGUCGCAAGACUAAAACUCAAAUGAAUUGACGGGGGCCCGCACAAGCGGUGGAGCAUGUGGUUUAAUUCGAUGCAACGCGAAGAACCUUACCUGGCCUUGACAUACUAGAAACUUUCCAGAGAUGGAUUGGUGCCUUCGGGAAUCUAGAUACAGGUGCUGCAUGGCUGUCGUCAGCUCGUGUCGUGAGAUGUUGGGUUAAGUCCCGCAACGAGCACAACCCUUUUCCUUACUUGCCAGCAUUUCGGAUGGGAACUUUAAGGAUACUGCCAGUGACAAACUGGAGGAAGGCGGGGACGACGUCAAGUCAUCAUGGCCCUUACGGCCAGGGCUACACACGUGCUACAAUGGUCGGUACAAAGGGUUGCUACCUAGCGAUAGGAUGCUAAUCUCAAAAAGCCGAUCGUAGUCCGGAUUGGAGUCUGCAACUCGACUCCAUGAAGUCGGAAUCGCUAGUAA
rnacentral:rRNA from 1 species